UACGGGGGGGCAAGCGUUGUUCGGAAUUACUGGGCGUAAAAGGGCUCGUAGGCGGCCAACUAAGUCAGACGUGAAAAUCCCCUCGGCUUAACCGGGGAACUGCGUCUGAUACUGGAGUGGCUUGAGUUUCGGGGAGAGGGGAUGUGGGAAAUUUCCAGGUGUAGCGGUGAAAUGCGUAGAUAUCUGGAGGAACACCGGUGGCGAAGGCGGCAUCCUGGAC
rnacentral:rRNA from 1 species